UAUCCGAAACUCUUAGUGCGAGCCUUCCGGCGUCUCCAUCCUCUGCUGCCGGUUCUGAUGUCCACUUCGCCUUCAGCCCUCAGACAUCGCAGCUGCCAGAACCGGCUGUCUGGAAAUCGCCUGCAAGCUCCAACACUACCCCCCUGGCUGACAUUGCCUUUGUCUGCUAUGAGGACCUGAGCAGUCCAGAGGAAGUGACGAGUCCUGGAGUGGUGGCCGUAGCCAAGGGUUCUCCAUCCGGACAAGCAUCACCGAAAGUCCCCAAGCAUAAACUCGUGACUCCAACCAAGAACCCCCGAUAUAAAUUCUUCACGUCGAAGAACGCGCGUGCCGAUGGAAC